rnacentral:lncRNA from 1 species
UCUUUUGGUCGUCAGAAAGAGCUUCAGUGCGGCGACGGGUGACGGUAGUCUCCUUCCCGGCAGCGAGGUCUUCUUCUCCGAUGAGGGGGUCUGGCGGCUAAGGUUAGGGUUUGGUGCGAGUUGGGGUUAUUUAUAUCCGUCCGCAUUUAAUCUAGGUCAUCCAUCGUAUUUGAUCUGGACCAUCCGAUCGUGAUUAAAUAGGGAGUGAAUCUGAGCCGUUCAUCGUGAUCCAAUCUGGAUUGUUUGAUCGCAUUUAAAUAUGACCGUCUGAUCGUGUUGAGGAGGGAACGCAUCCAGGCCGUUCGAUCGCGAGCACGUGGAUCGUCUGCAUGGCCUCCUGCGUGGCAUCGCAUCAGCUUCUACUGCCACGUGGCGCGUCCUGAUUGACCAGGCCUGCU